CCUACGGGCGGCAGCAGUGAGGAAUAUUGGUCAAUGGACGAGAGUCUGAACCAGCCAAGUAGCGUGAAGGAUGACUGCCCUCUGGGUUGUAAACUUCUUUUAUAUGGGAAUAAAAUGUUCCACGUGUGGGCUUUUGUAUGUACCAUAUGAAUAAGGAUCGGCUAACUCCGUGCCAGCAGCCGCGGUAAUACGGAGGAGCCGAGCGUUAUCCGGAUUUAUUGGGUUUAAGGGGAGCGUCGGUGGAUUGUUAAGUCAGUGGUGAAAGUUUGCGGCUCAACCGUAAAAUUGCAGUUGAAACUGGCAGUCUUGAGUACAGUAGAGGUGAGCGGAAUUCGUGGUGUAGCGGUGAAAUGCGUAGAUAUCACGAAGAACUCCGAUUGCGAAGGCAGCUCACUGGACUGCAACUGACACUGAGGCUCGAAAGUGUGGGUAUCAAACAGGAUUAGAUACCCCUGUAGUC
rnacentral:rRNA from 1 species